CCGUAACGAGCGCAACCCUUGUCCUUAGUUACCAGCACGUUAUGGUGGGCACUCUAAGGAGACUGCCGGUGACAAACCGGAGGAAGGUGGGGAGUGACGUCAAGUCAUCAUGGCCCGUUACGGCCUGGGCUACACACGUGCUACAAUGGUCGGUACAAAGGGUUGCCAAGCCGCGAGGUGGAGCUAAUCCCAUAAAACCGAUCGUAGUCCGGAUCGCAGUCUGCAACUCGACUGCGUGAAGUCGGAAUCGCUAGUAAUCGUGAAUCAGAAUGUCACGGUGAAUACGUUCCCCGGGCCUU
rnacentral:rRNA from 1 species